CCUUACCAAGGCAGUGAUGGUCUAUGCCUUCUCUCUCACCCUACUCUAAUAAGGCUUUAAUAUCUGGAGCUCAUAGGUGGGAGAUAAAAUAUACAUACUUAUAAGACAUUUAUUGCAUAGUCAAACCAUGGAUCCAAAGAAACAAAUCAAUAAGCCAAAUCAAGAUGUGCAUGUGUGGCGAAUGAAUGGUGUAUGGUGAUGAUGGUGAUAACAAUGGUGAAAGUCUAAUUCUACUUUUGCUCUUUUGAGGGGAUACAUACCUUUCUUGCUUUUUGAAUAGUGAGGAGAAUGAGAUGCUCUUCUUUUUCUUUUCUCUCAGGUGGGUAUCUUGUACCCCUAAUUCUACUAUCGGACACUUGUCCAUUUUUACCUCUCGUCUCACUUUUUCUUUUCUUUCGAGGUUCCGAGCACUUGCUCCUUUUUAUUUC
rnacentral:lncRNA from 1 species